AUGCAUGAGUAUUGUGAGAUCCCUGGACGUAAAAGUGUCCUGAGCUGCGAAGAGGGGGCUGAGAUAAUGAUAAUGACCACUCUGAAGUUAUCUAAGCUUCGCAGUAGAGUGAUCUUGAUGCGUUCAUUUAACAAAGUUGUCAAGCUGCAUGCUGGACAUUUUGUUUUUGCUGGAAACUUUUCCUCAAAGAACUUCCAAAUCUAUCGAGAUGACUCUGUCAAGUUGGAUGGGCUUGCUGAGGGCGCGAUAGUGGACUAUAGUGAGGCUGUCGGGGACCUCAACUACGAGCAAUUCAUUCAUAUGGUUGUAGAGGAGGUGUUUCUUGGGCAGAUGCUAUCAGUUGAACUGACCGAGUAG
rnacentral:rRNA from 1 species